GACGUAGGGGGCGAGCGUUAUUCGGAAUUAUUGGGCGUAAAGCGCUCGUAGGCGGGAUCGAUAGUCCGUGAUGAAAGACCUGGGCUCAACUCAGGGAACGGCACGGAUACUUCGAUUCUUGAGGCAAUCAGAGGGUGAUGGAAUUCCCGGUGUAGCGGUGAAAUGCGUAGAUAUCGGAAGGAACACCUGUGGCGAAAGCGGCUCACUGGACCAUUACUGACGCUGAGGCACGAAAGCUAGGGGAGCAAACAGG
rnacentral:rRNA from 1 species